rnacentral:lncRNA from 1 species
ACUGAAAAUCAUCCCCUGACUAGUCAAUCCCAAAUUCACCUGCAAAUCCUCAUCCUGACACAAUCAGGAAGAUGUCAAAUGCAGGCACAUCAUGGACAGAUCUUGUACAUCUUUUCAGCAAUUCACCUUGGCCCUGAGCUAGAAGGAACUCCUGUUAGAGCUUCCAGGGACUUAAAAAUUUCAUUGAGGAGACAGUUUUCUUUCAACCUUCAUGUCCAAUUCUGACACAGUCCUAAGAGCUGCCCGUAAUAUCCAGAAGGAGGAAGAUGUGCCUAAGGUGAACCACCAGAGGACUACCUUAUAGGUGCUCAAGAUGCUCCAAUUGAUGGAAGUAUUCAAAGGUGAAGCCACAGAGCAUGGAAGUAAACACUUCAAAAUGAGAGCAUGAAAAUCUGGACUGACAUGGACGGGGGAUGGGAUUUUGUCUGAGAGGUUCACAUACUAAGAGGAAAAAAUAUGUCCACGGAUUCUUAGGUAAGUUCUAUAAUAUAAUUAUUUCUAAGAAUUACAUGAAGCCAAUUCUUACCUGGAGAAACGGUUGACUGUACCUGCUCCCCAUGAACUUCAACAACAACAACAAAAAUCUGUUAGAAAGAUAAUGAAACAAACUCUACUUUGGGUGAGAAAAAAAAAAUAGGUAAUCACAUGCGAAGUUGAUUCCUUUCUAAGCCCUUAACACACGUUGGUUUAAUUCUCAGAACAACCUGGUAAGGUAAGUACAAAGUAUCCCAUUUUACAUAGGAGGAACUUAGGCUCAGAGAGUUUCAAUGUGUUUGUAAAGGUCAUUAUCUUAUCUAAAGUUAAGAGUCAGUAAGUGGCAGAGCCCAAAGUAAUACUGAGAUCUAACUAAUUCCUAAAUCUCUCUUACUUCAUGUCGCAUUUCUUUCUUCCAAAGUAAGUGGCUUUGUUCUGACUGCCCAGAGAUAUGCAUAUUCUGUAAUUACGGUCAGAUAUAGAAAAUGUUAACUCAUGUGAAGUUGAAAAGGUUUUUAAGAGGUAAAAUGUAUUUUUACAUGUCCUUUCGUUUGCUUAUGUGAUGUUUCUAAAACUUUCCCUGGGUUUAGAAUGUGUACCUUCCUAAUGUGGUUAAGACACAAUGGAACAUUGGUAAAUAAAGCUUUUAUUAGGCUCCUGUAAAGUGCCCUGGAGGGAAAAAACAUUCUCUGUGACACCAUCACUCUACUCUAUCCUCAGACAUUCUUGUCAUCUUAUUGCGCAGUUUCUGGACAGAUUUUAUAGUAGUCAUUAGUUCAGUUAUUGACACUCAAAGAAAAAAUUGGUAAUCCAAGUAGUUCAGGUAAUAAGUUUUAUAGUAAUUUUAUAAUAAAGUAACUGAUUUUUGUAACGAGUUAUGUAACAAAUUAGCUCUCUGAAGAAGUUAAACUUAAAAUCGAAACAUACAUUUAUUGAAAAAUCAGUAUGUUUAAAUAUGCUAUAAAAACAAAUUUGAUACAAUUAAAUUUGAUACAUUUUAAAAAUAUUUGAAUCUCAGUGAACUCAAAACUUCUGGCAGAUUUUUUCCUGACCCUAAAUUUUAUUAUUUAGAUCAUUUAAAUCGUUUGUUUGUUUAUAGUUGAUUUACAAUGUUGUGCCAAUUUCUGUUGUAUAGCAAAAUGACUCACUCAUACAUAUAUAUAUAUAUACAUACUUUUUAUAUUAUUUUCCACUAUGUUCUGUCUCAGGAGAUUGGAUGUAGUUCUCUAUGAUACACAGUAGGACCUUAUUGUUUAUCCAUUCUAAAUGUAAUAAUUUGCAUCUACCAACUCCAAGUUUCUAGCACUGCCCACUCCCUCCCUUCUGCCCCUGGCAACCACAAGUUUUUCUCUAUGUUUGUGAGUCUGUUUCUGUUUUAUAGAUAGGUUCAUUUGUGCUAUAUUUUAGAUUUUGCAUAUAAAUGAUAUCAUGGUAUUUGUCUUUCUCUUUCUGUCUUACUUUACUUAGUAGGAGAAUCUCUAGUUUUCACCCAUGAUGCUGCAAAUGGCAUCACUUCAUUCUUUUUUUUGGCUGAGUAGUAUUCCAUUAUGUGUAUGUACCACAUUGUCUUAGUCCACUCAUCUGUCGAGGGGCACUUAAGUUGUUGCCAUGUCUUGGCUAUUGUGAAUAGUGCUACUGUGAACAUAGGGGUACAUGUAUUCUUUUUUUUUUUUUUUGUCUUUUUGUCUUUUUCUACGGCCACACCCGUAGCAUAUGGAGGUUCCCAGGCUAGGGGGCUAAUUGGAGCUGUAGCCACUGGCCUACACCACAGCCACAGCAACGCCAGAUCUGAGCCAUGCCUGUGACCUACACCACAGCUCAUGGCAAUGCUGGAUCCCUAACCCACUGAGCAAGACCAGGGAUCGAACCUGCAACCUCAUGGUUCCUAGUCAGAUACGUUAACCACUGAGCCACAACAGGAACUCCACAUGUAUCUUUUUGAAUUAUAGUUUUGUCUGGAUAUAUACCCAGGGAUGAGAUUGCUGGCUUAUGUGGUAGUUCUAUUUUUAGUUUUCUGAGGAAUCUCCAUGCUGUUUUCUAUAGUAGUUGCACCAACUUACAUUCCCACCAACAUUGUAGGAGGGUUUCCUUUCCUCCAUACCCUCUCCAGCAUUUGUUAUCGGUAGAUGGACAUUCUGACUGGUUUUAGGCGGUACCUCAUUGCAGUUCUGAUUUGCAUUUCUCUAAUAAUUAACUAUGUUGAGCAUCUUUUCAUGUGCCUACAAGGCUCAGUAAAUCUUUAUUGAUAUCUACCUAUUUUAUUUGUCUGAUGGAGAAGCCAUGCUACACUAAAUUACACCAGAACAGGAAAGAGAAGAUCUCUUUGGAACUACUACAAUGAGGAAAUAACAUUGGAAACUAUUAAGCUUUUUUAAUUACUAGUUAAAAUUUAUUAAAGCAAGAACUUUGUCUCAUCCCAUAGGAUCUAAGAUAGUCCGUGGUACAAAGUAAGUCUUAGUGGCUGGUUUGUGUUACACAGUUCUGAAAGGUCUGUAAUUUGUGCAUAAUGGAGAUCUAUGAUUUCAUGGACUAAAAGAUUCUACUGUAUCUAAUCUUGUAGAAGUAAUAUUUUUCUUUGGAACAUUCUCUGGUUGAUGGUCUUCAACAACUUUCUACUCCUAUUCCAAUAAAAAUAAAUUAUAAGUGAAUAACAAUAUUAAAUUAUUCUUUAGUUUCCAUUACCAGGGAGCACUCUAAGCAAUAUAUGGAAACAUAAAAGGAAAAGGCAGUUUCUAAGUUAAUGACAAUUUAAACUAUGUAGCACUUUUAAGACAAAAAUUUUAAAAAUGCAGAUAUACAUUUAUAUAUAUUAAUGUUAUUUAUAUGUGUUUUAAUAUAUACUUUCUAAAGUAUUUGCAUUUUAAUCUGGUUCCUUCCUCUCUUCCUUUUUAAAAAUCUCUCAUUCUCCUCACAUGUGUAAACAGCAGAAAUAGGCAUGUGAGAAGUAUCACAAACCUGUAGACAUUUUCACUCACCUCUGUGAGUGAAUAAAUAGGGAAAGCACUUGUGUUUGCUGUACAUGUAUUACCUAUGAACUUGAACCAUAUAAAAUUGUACUUUUUCUAGAUUAAAAUGGUCAGAUAUUGACUAGUUCAUAGAGUUCAGGUAAUAUAUUACAAAUUUCGUUCCACUGGUGUUCUGUGAUAAUAAAAUAUUUCCUCCUCUUUUUUAUGUUUAAUGAAACUAUACUCAGUGUAUACAGAACUGCUCAUAAUUCUAAAGCUGAUUGGUAUUCUAUUUUCUGGUUUGGUUAACUCAAUCAGUUAAGACACUAUACUACUGAGCCAUUUAAUUUAUCAAUAAAAUAUCUGCAAAUGUGGGUUUUUAAUUACAAAGAAGAGCUAGUAAAGGGGUAUGGAUUUUUCCUUGUCCAUCCAAGGUUUAUUUCUCUUAUAGUAACUUCUUCCUCCAUUAUUUUCCCUAAUAUCCCGAAGUAUAAACUUUCAUCUCUCUCCAUUUAAUGCAAAUUUCAGCCCUCCUACCAACUCUUUACUGCUUAUUAGAGAAGUCAUGGCUCAGGAAAAAAAUUAAUAGUCCAUAGUUUGCACAUUUUUAAGAGUUUUUUUUUUCAAAACUAAAUUUAAAAAUGUGGUUGGAGGUGUUUUCAUAAGGAUAAAUGAAUUUCUUAAGACAUUUUCAUUGUAGCAUUUAUUAUUUUUUAUUUCUCGAAAUAUUUUCUUUAAAUUAUGCAUGAUGAUUAUGUUUAUGCAAAUAUUCCUAAAUAUGAUGCAAGUUAGUCCCCUAUAAUCCAUAUGCAUAAUAUAUCAUAAUUUUCUUUUGCUCCACUUGUCACAUUUAUAAUCAAAUACUUACUUGUAAUAUUAUUUUGAAUUAUAUAUUGAGAGAAAAUAUGUAUUCAUUAAUGAAGAUUUAUUAAUUAUGAAUUACUUACUGCAGUAAAUACAGAAACUUUUACAGUGCCAGACACAUAAUAGGUGCUUAUACUUUCUGACUAAAUAUCUGGAUGAUUGAAAUAGUAUAGUAUAAAUCAAAAUACAAAGGCACAUAAUUGUGAAAUUGGAUCGUGAAAAUGCUAACUUUCUUGAGCAGGUAAAACUCAAAAAAAAAGGAAACACAAAUGGUUAAUAAUUCUACAAGAAAAGGUUAAACCUAACUAAUGAUUAAAGAAUUAUAAAUUAAAGCAACAAAAUGCCAUUUUUACUUAUCAGAUUGGCAAACUUUAAAAUGGUUGAUAAUAUCUAGUGCUGGUAAGAAUGUGGUGAAAUGUUUAUGCUUAUAUGCCUUUGGAGGCAACAUAAAUUAGUGCGGCUCUUAAGAGAAAUUUGCCUUAUCUUUUAAUAUUUAUAGUUACUGUCUAAUGACUCAGCAAUCAUGCUUAUAGGCAUUUAUCCUAUAAAUCUAUUCAGGCAAGUGAGAGGUGAUACAUGCCCCAGUUUGUAUAUUGUAGUAUUUCAAAAAAUGAAGGGAAAAAGCUAGAAACAGUAAACAUUUUACCAUUUUUUUGAAUAAAACUCACAACUAUUGAAGCUAAUUUCUUUUAUGCUUAUUGAAGAGAGAGGAUUUGGGAAUGAGAGGAUGAUUUUUCUUCUAAAAUAUCCUUUAUAUACAUAUAUUCUGUCAAAUGGGCUGCAGCCUUUUAUUACUGUAGAUAAUUGUAUUAUUUGUUAUUGAUCUUUCUUCAGAUGACAACAUUUAUUAUUUUUACAGAAAUUGUGUAAAUGAGGAAAACUGUAAAAAGAUUUUUCCUCUCAGUUUAUUUUGCGGCAAGUGUCAGUCUUUACUGUGAAUGUAAAUUUCAGGGUUAAAAUUAAUAAUCCUAGAAGGAGAAGUGCAAAUCAUACAACCUCCUCUCUUACCCAGGUAAAAGUUUAAGGAAAACACAAAUGAAUCACGCAUUUCUGUAUAAUCUGUGCUUUUGUCAAAAGGUUGCCAUGACUCAUUUAUGACUUUCCAUAGUUUUAAAACCAGUGUUUUUAACCAUAGAAAAUCUACUUCAUGGUCCUAUUAUGACAACUGUUGAGUCAAUAAUAGACUCUUUAGUUCAUGCAUGGAUGUUUUUGUAGAAAUAAACCAAGUACAACUGUCCCUUGCUAAUACUCCAUGAAGCGGAAUCCUAAACAAAGAAAGAGAGAGAUUAUAAAACCAAGUUCUCCUACAUGCAUUACUUUGGGUGCUAUAUACUGUGUGGGGUGCCAGAGAUACCACCUCAUUUGAUUGUCAUAGCUCCCUGAAGGAUCAGCUACAGCUCAAGGAUCAAGUAGCUGCUAAGAAUGCAAAGGACUAGAUUUGAACCCAAAUUCAUAUGAUUUCAAAUAUCACUUACAGGUCCAAAUGACCAGGCAGUCCUGACUUAAUUCAGUGCAACAUCUGUUCUUUCUUUUAGCUAGCCCCACAGUGAUCAGGAUCAGAUCUUUGGGACAGUAUUCUGUGAAAUAAAUGCUUUGCUACUCAGUUAUAAGCAGCGUGCCCUGGCAUUGAGAUAGAAACAAUAUUUAUGGAUCAUUCUAAUGUAUCGUUUUAACCAGUGGUCUUAUUGUGGUCCUACGUAUGAUUGAAAGAAAAGAGAUAGGAGUUCCUAAUAUGACUUGGCAUAAGAAACCUGACUAGUAUCCAUGAGGAUGCAGGUUUGAUCCCUGGUCUCGCUCAGUGCAUUCAUGAUCUGGCAUUGCAAUAAGCUGUGGUGUAGAUUGCAGACGCAGCCCUAGUCCUGCGUUGCUGUGGCAUACAUAGGCCAGAAGCUGCAGCCCUGAUUUGACCCCUAACCUGGGAACUUCCAUGUGCUACAGGUGUGGCCUUGAGAGCAAUAAAUAAAUAAAUGAAUAAAUAAAAAGUCCUCUGGAUUUCCAACACUGGUAAUAAUAAACACCCCUUUAAAAAGUGGGCAUUACCUGUGGGUAUUCUUUUGAAGUCAUUCUUCUCUAGAGGGAUUGCAUUAAAUGAAUUGACUUUGACUUGGCCACGAAGAGAGGAAAACUUGCUUCAAUAAUUCAGAAUAUUUCAGGAGCUUAAUUCCUCAAGAAAAUAUUUUAUUUGCCUCAUUUUUCCUUUGAGGUCCCUUUCAAGCUGCAUACUUUAUUUUAGCUCUCAAUUCAUUUCAUUUUGUGUAGAAAGAAUAGUAAUAAUAAAAAAAGGACACUGCAGAAAUUGAGAUAAUACAGCUGUUUCUACUACCAUGUCUUUAUGUCUCUUUAAAAGCAACAAGAGGCUCAUAAACAUUAGAAUUAACUGAGAGUGAAAUCCCAUCUCUUAGCCAUAUAUCACAUUUCUUAUAUCAUAGCACUUACUUAAAAGUCAUGUUACUGUUUUCUUUAACUCAGAAGCUCUGACUCAAGAAUAAUAUGCCCCUAACAUGACUGAUGUGUCUCUUAUAACUACAUAGGGUAAAAGCUUAAACUAUUGUGUGUGCCUGGAGUUGCUGCUCUAUCAUCUUAGUUAAUUUUCUUCAUGUCCCAUGUUUUGUUGUCUCUCAUAAGUGACUGUAUUUAAGAAAAAGAGAAAAUUGGGUGUGGUUAUUUAUGCAGGUCCUAUGGUUAAUACACUCCUAAAGUAGGUACCUGCUAUCUUUAUUACUGCAAACACCAUAGAUUCUAUGGUUCAUGUUUGGAAAGAAAAGAAUAAACAAUUUUAGCAUACAAAAUUGAGAUGAAUUGCAACUCUAUGGUUUGAGCAAUUUGAAUUCUUAAGAUACAUGUCCUAGUUAUAUAUUGAGAGGUUUAUUAAUUAAACCCAGCUUGAUCUCUGGACCUCAUGUGCUAAGAACUUUAAUUUGAAGGCUUGCCUACUUUGCUUUUGAUGCCACUUAGGGUCCAAAAUUAUUGUACUGAAAUAGUUCUCAAACCCUGAUUCACCUUUAAUGAGGAGAAAUCACAUUAUUAGAUCAUCCAAACACUUCUAUUUACCAGUCACAUCUUGUCACAGCUUUAGUAGCAGCUGUCCACAGAUAUAAGUUUUCACAAAUGAAAAAUCAGGAUAGGAAAGGCAGGUGUCACCUAGAAAAUCUUGAACUCUUUCCAAGAGGCAUUUUGUUGAAUUGCUAAACUGAUAAACUUAGGUUCUCUCACAAGGCUCCAGGGAGGAGCUCAUCAAGCACGUGGUAGCUCCCCGCCCCCAACAGCCAUCAUUAAGUAGAAACCCCUAAGUUUAGAAAAAUAUAAAAUGUUCCUAUCAGUCACGAUUCUUAAGAAAGCCCAUUCGAAUUGUGAUUAAGUUAAAUAGGAAGCCCCUGAAAUUCAAGUCUGCAUAUUUUUUUCUUAGAGCAAAUGUUUUUAAUUUAAUCAAAGAAGAAAAUGAAAAAGACAUGUCUUUCAUAUUUACCAAUGCCUUCAUUUGUUUUCAGAUGCCUCCUCCUCCUACCUCUUAAAUUCAGAUAUUUCUUGAGGAUCCUCAUUGUAGGUGCCUCUUUGAAAGGCUUUCACUUCCUACUCAACUAGCAUCUCUGCAUACAGCACUCCAGGUCAUAAUCUUUGCUCUUUUUGGGAUCCACAUUCUGAAUAUUUAUUGGCUAUGGAUCCAAUUCUGCCACUAAUUUUACUUUUUAAAUUACUCAUGAAGCAGCUCCUGUUAUAAGCACUUUACGUGCAUUUGCUCAUUUAAGUCUUACCACAAAUAGUAAAGAGUACAUUAUGGUUCUUGAUGUACAGAAAGGGAAACAGAAACUUAAAGAAAGGUUAAGAGGAAGCUGCUCCAAACUGACCCAGCUAGUGAGAGACAGAGCUGGGACUUCAGCCUAGGUGGUUCUUCCUCGAAAGCCUGUGAGCUUGACCACUAGGCUGUUGGAAAUCACUUUUCUCACUCUGGUUUGAAACCUGAGGUGAAUCUUUGACAUUUUCUUUUAUUGUUUACUUGCUAGACUACAGGCAAAAUAAAGAUACAAUUUUGGGAGUUCCUGCUGCGGCUCAGCAGAAACAAAUCCCACCAGUAUCCGUGAGGAGGAUGUGGGUUUGAUCCCUGGCCUCACUUGGUGGGUUAAGGAACCAGUAUUGUCGUGAGCUAUGGUGUAGGUUGCAGACAUGGUUUGGAUCUGGCAUUGCUGUGGCUGUGGUGUAGGCCAGCAGCUGCAGUUCCAAUUAAACCCCUAGCCUGUACCUCCAUAUGCCACCGGUGUGGCU